AGAAAUAUAUAUAUAUAUAUAUAUAUAUGCAUUUAUACACACACACUUUAUUAAUGGCAAAUUAAGUUGUACAUAAUUAUAUAAAACAAGAAUGAUUUUUAUAAAUCUUAACAAAUUUGACUUUGAAGAUCAACCUCACACAUUGCGUUACAUACAUGUAUUUAUCUGUACCUACCAGAUUUAAGCUUCAAAGCUUAAUUUAUAGCUAUAUAGCUUGAGGGUAAUGAUGAAUCAGAUACAGAUAUACACCAUCUUGGUGAUAAGUUUUUGUGUAAGUUAAGAAAUUAACAAAAGUCAAAGGAUUUCCAGAAAGUCAAAAAUGGCUACCCUAGAAGCUAGCUGCAUUGAAAUCGAUCCACCCUAUAAAUACUCAUCUUAAUCUCCAUUAAAACAUGCAACAUUACAAAACAUAUACAACAAAACUUCAGGAGAGAGAUCCAGAGUAAUUCAAGAGAAGCCUAACUGAGCAUGGCAUCGGAAUGCGAAGGUAAGGAUACAUGGCCUGAGCUGCUGGGGAAGCAGGGGAAGUUUGCUGAGGAGGUGAUUGAGAAGGAGAAUUCUCAUGUUGAUGCUCAGAUUAUAUUGGAAGGGACAAUUGUGACUCAGGAAUUCCGAUGUGACAGGGUUCGAGUUUGGGUUGACAACUAUGGCACUGUCACUAGGGUCCCCCGAAUUGGUUAAUUAAGGCUGGCUAUAUAUAUAUAUAUAUAUAUAGCUAUAGUAAUAAACUAAUUUAUUGAUAAAAUGAAAUAAAGGAGAAGAACCCUUUUCUCUCCAUUGCAUUAAUAUUGUUGUAUUCAACAUAGAAAAUAUAUCAUAUCUUCCCUUGUACUGUAAUUGGAUAUUUUAUACAUAAAAAGUUAACUUUAAUUAAUUUGCA